GAGACACCCUAAUGGGGCAGGACUUGCUUCAGUGGGAUGUUAGUGCUCACUGAGUCUGUCCCUUGAGUGGGCCACU
rnacentral:pre_miRNA from 1 species